UUCAGGGGUAAACGGAAAAGACCCGAAAUUCCGAAAAGGGAGAUUCACGUCUGCUCGCAAGCGUUCGUCACUUGUGUCUGGACGGCCAAUUGUACCCCCGUUUGGGCGCAAGUUCAAACGGUUGGGUCUGGUUGCCGGCGCGCAGGUGUGCUUCGAACCGCGGCGGACCGCACUUCUCCCUUAGUAGGACGUCGCGACCCGCUCGUCCGUGGCCUACGGCUGAGCAAGAUGCCUGUCACUGGCGUUGGUCCCUCGGGGCCAACGGUUUGAGUCAGACUGCUCGUGCUUCCUGGCCACGGUAACGGACGGUAUCAAAUACCGGUGUCGAGUCGCUUCUCAGCGUGAGGGAGAUAAAAAACCCUCUCGUACGGAAGCGUCCUAGGCAGAGGGCAAGGUUUCUGAGUUUCUAAAAACGUAAGUUUUGAAGUCAAGACGUUUGUUUUCCGUUCGUCUGGCGGAGCUCGGGCCUGUUGGUUCUCUGUCUUUGGACUGGCUCAUUCCCAUUGCGCGGAGAAAGGCACCAGUCAGCGGCGAUCUAGUUUUGGGCUCUUUUCCGACCCGUCUUGAAACACGGACCAAGGAGUUUAGCGUGCUCGCGAGUCAUUGGGUGUUACAAAACCUAAAGGCGAAAUGAAAGUAAAGAGCUGUCUUUUGACUCUCAAGGGAGGAUGAGCUACUGCUCUGGUCGUUCUAACCGACGACUGAGCGUGUCUCCGCACUCCCGGGGCGAUUCUUUCUCAUUGCGAGUGGAGGCGCACCAAGAGCGAGCACGCUGAAACCCGAAAGAUGGUGAACUAUGCCUGGCCAGGACGAAGCCAGGGGAAACCCUGGUGGAGGUCCGCAGCGAUUCUGACGUGCAAAUCGAUCGUCGGAGCUGGGUAUAGGGGCGAAAGACCAAUCGAACCUC
rnacentral:rRNA from 1 species